GAGUGUGUUGCUGCUGUUCUGCUCUGCGUCCUCGCUACAAACGCCUGGUGGACAACAUAUUCCCUGAAGAUCCAAAAGAUGGCCUUGUUAAAGCGGACAUGGAGAAAUUGACAUUUUAUGCAGUAUCUGCUCCAGAGAAACUGGAUCGAAUUGGUUCUUACUUAGCAGAGAGGUUGAGCAGAGAUGUUGUCAGACAUCGUUCUGGGUAUGUUUUAAUUGCUAUGGAGGCGUUGGACCAACUUCUUAUGGCUUGCCAUUCUCAAAGCAUCAAGCCAUUUGUAGAAAGCUUUCUUCAUAUGGUAGCAAAGCUGCUAGAAUCAGGGGAACCAAAGCUUCAAGUUCUUGGAACAAAUUCUUUUGUCAAAUUUGCAAAUAUUGAAGAAGAUACACCAUCCUAUCACAGACGUUAUGACUUUUUUGUAUCUCGCUUCAGUGCCAUGUGUCAUUCCUGUCAUAGUGAUCCAGAAAUACGAACAGAAAUCCGAAUUGCUGGAAUCAGGGGUAUUCAAGGAGUGGUUCGCAAAACAGUUAAUGAUGAACUUCGGGCUACCAUUUGGGAACCCCAGCAUAUGGAUAAAAUUGUUCCAUCCCUGUUGUUUAACAUGCAAAAGAUAGAAGAGGUUGACAGUCGCACAGGUCCUCCUCCUUCCCCUUCUGCCGCUGACAAAGAAGAGAACCCCGCGGUGCUGGCCGAAAACUGUUUCAGAGAACUGCUGGGUCGAGCGACUUUUGGGAACAUGAAUAAUGCUGUCAGACCAGUUUUUGCGCAUUUAGACCAUCACAAACUAUGGGAUCCCAAUGAAUUUGCAGUUCACUGCUUUAAAAUUAUAAUGUAUUCCAUUCAGGCUCAGUAUUCUCACCAUGUAAUUCAGGAGAUCCUAGGACACCUUGAUGCUCGUAAAAAAGAUUCUCCACGGGUUCGAGCUGGUAUCAUCCAGGUUCUGUUAGAGGCUGUUGCCAUUGCUGCUAAAGGUUCCAUAGGACCCACAGUGCUGGAAGUCUUUAAUACUCUCCUAAAGCAUCUGCGUCUCAGUGUUGAAUUUGAAGCAAAUGACUUACAGGGGGGAUCUGUAGGCAGUGCUAACUUAAACUCAAGUUCCAAAGACAAUGAUGAGAAGAUUGUGCAGAAUGCUAUCAUCCAAACAAUAGGAUUUUUUGGAAGUAACCUACCGGAUUAUCAGAGGUCAGAAAUCAUGAUGUUCAUUAUGGGGAAAGUACCCGUUUUUGGAACAUCCACCCAUACUUUGGAUAUCAGUCAACUAGGGGAUUUGGGAACCAGGCGGAUUCAGAUAAUGUUGCUGAGAUCUUUACUUAUGGUAACCUCUGGAUACAAAGCAAAGACAAUUGUUACUGCACUGCCUGGAUCUUUUCUGGAUCCUUUGUUAUCACCAUCCCUCAUGGAAGACUAUGAACUGAGACAGUUAGUCUUGGAAGUAAUGCAUAAUCUCAUGGAUCGGCAUGACAAUAGGGCAAAACUUCGAGGGAUCAGAAUAAUACCAGAUGUAGCUGACCUAAAGAUAAAAAGAGAAAAAAUUUGUAGACAAGACACAAGUUUCAUGAAAAAGAAUGGGCAACAACUGUAUCGGCACAUAUAUUUGGGCUGUAAAGAGGAAGACAAUGUUCAGAAAAACUAUGAGCUACUUUAUACUUCUCUUGCUCUUAUAACUAUUGAAUUGGCCAAUGAAGAAGUGGUUAUUGAUCUCAUUCGAUUAGCCAUUGCUUUACAGGACAGUGCGAUUAUCAAUGAGGACAAUUUGCCCAUGUUCCAUCGCUGUGGGAUCAUGGCGCUAGUUGCGGCAUACCUCAACUUUGUAAGUCAGAUGAUAGCUGUCCCUGCUUUUUGCCAACAUAUUAGCAAGGUUAUUGAAAUUCGAACCAUGGAAGCCCCUUAUUUUCUACCAGAGCAUAUUUUCAGAGAUAAGUGCAUGCUUCCAAAAUCUUUAGAGAAGCAUGACAAAAAUUUAUACUUUUUGACCAACAAGAUUGCAGAGUCACUAGGCGGAAGCGGCUACAGUGUUGAGAGGUUAUCGGUACCGUAUGUACCACAAGUAACAGAUGAAGAUCGACUUUCUAGAAGAAAAAGUAUUGUGGACACCGUAUCCAUUCAGGUGGAUAUUUUACCCAACAGCAUUCCUUCUGAUGAUGUGAACAAAGCAACGGAAGAUGCCCAAGUUUAAUCUGACUUCAACUAGAAAUAUGAACCCUCAGUAGAAAACCUGAGGUAGUGGAACGCUUGCUGCUUGAUUUCCAGCUAAAGCCUUUGUAUUACAGAGAAGCUAAGGUGCAAAGCAUGAAGUCUUGCUUUCGUUAGUCUUGCUGCCUUAGACUUAGCAAAAGACGCUCAUGAGCUAAAAUUAGGGAUGACCAGAGGCCCAGGUUAGUAACACUGAAGAAAUCACCUUUGAAGCAUUGAAGAAAGCAAUCGAUACCAGUGGUAUGGAAGAACAGGAAAAGGAAAAGAGGCGUCUUGUGAUAGAGAAAUUCCAGAAAGCACCUUUUGAAGAAAUAGCAGCACAGUGUGAAUCCAAAGCAAAUUUGCUUCAUGAUAGACUUGCUCAAAUACUGGAACUCACCAUACGCCCUCCUCCCAGUCCAUCAGGAACACUGACCAUUACUUCUGGGCAUGCCCAGUACCAGUCCGUCCCAGUCUAUGAGAUGAAGUUUCCAGAUCUGUGUGUGUACUGAGUGGCUCAUGAAGACCUCAGCGUAGGAUCUAAAGCCGAAAAAUGAAGGCCACGCUGAGUUUUCAAGGGUUUACUUAAUACUUAAUGUGUAUUAACAUAAUGGUUGAGAAUAACAGUGAGACUUCUCUUCAACCAAACACUUGGCUCACACCACAUUAGAAAUGGUGGAGCCAUCCAUGAUUUAGAAUACUUGAGAAGAUGGAUUUCUUUUGCAGUUCCUGUUGGCUUUCGAAGUUGGACAUGUAUUGAUCUCCUGUUAUUCCACAGUUAAGCAGUAUAUUUUAAACUUUUCACAAACAUGUAAUUUUAAAACAUGCCUCCAGAGGGUUGAAGAUGUAUGAAGUGUCUACUGUAUUUCUUAAACAUCUGCACAGCUGCUUAGAAAUAGAAUUGCUUUUGUGUUUGUUUAUCUGCAAAAGCAAAUACAUACAAAUAUAUUGCUAAUCUUGGGGCUGCAAAACUGUUCUGUGGCUUGUUGUCCCCAUGUUUUAGAUGUUGUGAUCUAUAAUAACAUGUGAUAGGCAUUCCUCAACUUGUUUAUGGUAAUAAGACAUUUGUUGAGUAAUAUUCCCAGAAUAUGACCAACCCUAAAAUCGCCAUAUUUAGAGGUGUCUAGUUCUUGUAAUACUGUGUUUUCUGCCAAGAGUUUGACCAUUCUACUUGAGAAAAGCUUAGAGCUUACUCUUGGCAUACCAAACUGUGCAAUAUUUUUUUACAUCAUAAGAUGUAUUCGUUUACAGACUAUACUUUGAAAUUAUAGUAGUAUUUUGCUGUGGCUCCAUUAAUUAAAUCAGAUCUAUAUUUAGUGUAGGAAAAAAAGACUUUUAAAACAGCUACGAGUUCACCUGUGAAGAGUGUGUACAUUUUGAGUUCUAUCAAAAGCACAUUACUUACAUUUUUAUAUUGUGCAUUAUUUAAAAUCUUCGUAGUCAGAAAAUUCUCCAAAUGGACUUUUAAUUUGUAAGAUUUGAACUGUUCAGUUGUAUACAUUUGUUUAGGAUUUGGUGUAUUCCAUUUGAAAAGAGUGCCUAUGGCUUUAGCAAUCAAGCGUGCUAAGGAUCGUCAAUGUGAGCUUCUGUUGAGUUAAGUUACCAAGGUUACAUGUGUACUCUACACAUGUGCUCAGAGACCUGUAGUGUUUUCUUAAAAUUGUGUGCAUUUUAGUGAAUUCCAUCACACAGCAAAAAUGAACGACUUUCUUUGCAAGUCUUAUAAAAUUCUCGUAGGACAUUUUUAUAGAAUAACCUCUUUAUAACUGUAUUGCCUUUUCAGAUUCAGUUUCUUUUUACAAAGAACAAUAUACAUAUCAAAAAUUGUAGCUCAAAAACUAACUCAGUUUUUAUCUUUUGUUUUUGUUUGAAAACUUACAGUGAGAAUGGCAGGUUAUAAGUUUGAGUUUAUGAUUAUUAGGCACCUGUACAAGAAACAGAGAAAGGUCAGGAAAUAACAAAAGAACAAGCGUACCCCAGAUUUUUUUAAUAAAUGAAGUACAGCAUCUUGAAACAUCUUGCAAAAUAGCCUAGUCAUUGAAACCCAUAAAAUGAUACUCAGCCCUCCUGGGCAGUGUGUUAAAUGUAGGUAAGCAAGACCUUGUUUCAGAAUGAUAGUGCAGGCGUUGAACGGCCUUCUUGCAGCUGUCGCUGUAACUUUGCCUCUUGAUUGGGUAAGAUGUGUCAUCAUAUAAUAGGCCAAGUUUUCUGUUUUUUUAUUUCCCUUUUUUUCUUCUGUAUUUUUAAAGAAGUGUAUUAAUUUUUGUGCAUUUAACAAAAUCUAAGCAGGGGGACAUGCAAAAAAACAAUCAUCAUCCACUUGGAUGUCAUUUUAUAGAUUAACACUGUGUGCUUUUGUAUGAAAAACAUAUAUAAUUGAAUAGUAUAAGUAAAGGAGAUCUAUAUUCAAUUGCACUCAUGCAAACAAACUUUACAAAAUUUCAUGUUUCUCUGUGGUAUAAGAAAUGCAUGUAUUGCAUGUAAAGGAAAACCAUUUGAAUUAAUGUUUAUCACACCUUUCUCUUGGUCUGUUUGUCAACUGUUGAUGUGGGGUUUGCAGGGUUUUUUUUCUUGUUGUUUUUAAAUCACAGUAGACUUCUAUAUGUCCUAGAUGACUGAACUGGUCUUGUUAAUAAUGAUUCCCCAAAAGUGGGUCUUUUCUUUGUUUGUCCUUUCCAGGAAAUUGCAGGACAUCCUGCCAGGUAAUGGGUGUGUGUUCUGUAUUCUAGCCAGUUUGGAGACAGAAAGUUUAGGAUUUGUUGAAGUUCACCGUAUGGCUAUAUUUUUGUAGAUAUUUAAAACUCUUAAUAAACUGUUAAUCAUUCUCUUUUUGCUGCAUACACUUGCUUUGUUUUUUUCCUUGACACUGAAUAGCUAACAUAUAAACAUUCCUUAUAUUUGUGUUGACUUUGCUUAUAAAGAGUUCGACUGUCAUUGGAAUUCACCUGAAUACACACACACGUGCCGGUGUACACAACACAAACACCCCUUAAUGCUUCUGAACUCAUUAUCUUUUAGAAUAAUACCACACUUUACCAGCAAUUAACAUUUCUCUUCCUCCUAUCUGAACAUGGAACUCAUUUGUCUUAUCCAUGCCAAUAUAUGUAAUAAAUGUAACAGUGAGGUUUUUUUGAAAUGUAAAAAUUUACUUUGCAAUUCAUAUGUAAGCAAUAAAACAAAAUCAAAUUA